ACGGGUGAGUAACACGUAUCCAACCUGCCUCAUACUCGGGGAUAGCCUUUCGAAAGAAAGAUUAAUAUCCGAUAGCAUAUAUUUCCCGCAUGGGUUUUAUAUUAAAGAAAUUCGGUAUGAGAUGGGGAUGCGUUCCAUUAGUUUGUUGGGGGGGUAACGGCCCACCAAGACUACGAUGGAUAGGGGUUCUGAGAGGAAGGUCCCCCACAUUGGAACUGAGACACGGUCCAAACUCCUACGGGAGGCAGCAGUGAGGAAUAUUGGUCAAUGGACGCGAGUCUGAACCAGCCAAGUAGCGUGAAGGAUGACUGCCCUAUGGGUUGUAAACUUCUUUUAUAUGGGAAUAAAGUUGUCCACGUGUGGAUUUUUGUAUGUACCAUAUGAAUAAGGAUCGGCUAACUCCGUGCCAGCAGCCGCGGUAAUACGGAGGAUCCGAGCGUUAUCCGGAUUUAUUGGGUUUAAAGGGAGCGUAGGCGGAUUGUUAAGUCAGUUGUGAAAGUUUGCGGCUCAACCGUAAAAUUGCAGUUGAUACUGGCAGUCUUGAGUGCAGUAGAGGUGGGCGGAAUUCGUGGUGUAGCGGUGAAAUGCUUAGAUAUCACGAAGAACUCCGAUUGCGAAGGCAGCUCACUGGAGUGUAACUGACGCUGAUGCUCGAAAGUGUGGGUAUCAAACAGGAUUAGAUACCCUGGUAGUCCACACAGUAAACGAUGAAUACUCGCUGUUUGCGAUAUACAGUAAGCGGCCAAGCGAAAGCAUUAAGUAUUCCACCUGGGGAGUACGCCGGCAACG
rnacentral:rRNA from 1 species